rnacentral:lncRNA from 1 species
UGAUUUUGUGAGACACCCGAAAAUGACAAAUUUUUCAUAUUUUUGUGAGAUGGGGAGAGUAUAAUAUUAGUGAUAUAAGAGAAACAUAAAUUGAUUAAAAAAAUAACAUAUCAUCAGAUAUUAGGUUAAUCCGUACUUGAGAUAAAGUCUCGUAUAGUCAUUAGGUGAACAAAUAAAGCCAUUAAUAUUCUCAAACAAAAAACAAAACGCAAAAUAAAAUAAAUGAAUAAAUAAUCCCAUUAACAUUCACAAAUGACAAACAAAACACGGAAUAAAAUAUAACGCCAUUAAUAUUCUCAAAUAAAAAAGGAAUAAAUAAAGAAAAAAAACACGAAAUCAAUAAAGCCAUUAAUAUUAUCAAAUAAGAAACAAAACACGAAUUAAGGCCGUUAAUAAUCUAAAAAAACAAAACAUGAAAUAAAAUAAAAUUAAAUUAAAAAUAAAAUGACAUUGAUACUCUCAAAUAAAAAGCAAAUUAAACGUUGAAAUAAAAAAUAAAACAUGAAAUUAAAUUAAAAAAAUUAAAACCCCAUUAAUACUCUAAAAUAAAAAAGGAAAAAUUAACGCUAGAAGUUCUCAAAUAAAAAACAAAACAUGAAAUAAAAUAAAAAUAAAAUAAAAUGUCAUUAAUACUGUCAAAUAAAAAGCAAAAAUAAUUAAAUUAAUUAAAAAAUAAAACCCAUUAAUACUGUAAAAUAAAAAAGGAAAAAUUAAACGCUAGAAGGAGGUAAUAAAAAACAAACAUGAAAUAAAUAAAAAUAAAAUAAAAUGUCAUUAAUACUGUCAAAUAAAAAGACAAAAAUAAUUAAAUUAAUUAAAAAUAAAACACAUUAAUACUGUAAAUAAAAAGGAAAAAUUAAACGCUAGAAGGAGGGGUUGAACCUCCGACCUUGUGGUUAACAGCCACACGCUCUAACCAACUGAGCUAUUCCAGCUUAUUGUUAAUUAAUACUAAAUAAAUAUAUAUUGACAAUAUUAUUAGUCGUAUCUAAAUGGGAGAAAUAGCAAAUAGCCCCCUAUCAUACAACCCCUUAACACAUUUACCUUCCUAUCUCUUAAUU